AGGGCAUAUGAUACGACAGAACAGGGAUUCUAUAGGACCUGGAAGAAAGUAGUCACUCUAGGAGUAGGUUAGAUUGAGAGAAGUAGCAAGAAUGUACUUAAAGCAGCAGAUAAUGAGAUAAAAUUGGGGUAAAUUGCGGUAGGAAUAUGUUAGAAGCAAGGGUGGAACUGUAGUCACUGUUACCUCGAUGGCGAAGCCAGAAUGUGAGGCUCUUGCUCUUAGAACUCACGUGAGUACCAUAGCCUCGCAUUUUCUUGCAGGACACAGAUUAUCCUUAUUUGGGUACCACCAUGGACACCUAUAAGGAACUGAUUGAGAGGAUUCCUGAGUUGAACAAAGUGGCACGAGCAGCUGCAGAGGUCGCUGGUCAGUUCGUGAUUAAACUAACCCAUGAUGUUGAAUUGAACCUGGACUAUGAGAGGUACAACAGCCAACUGCUUUCAUUUGUGAGGGAUCUGAACCAAUACAGAGCAGACAUAAAGGAAAUGGGCCUGAGUUUACAGUGGCUGUAUUCUGCUCGUGGAGACUUCUUCCGUGCUACUUCCAGAC
rnacentral:sRNA from 1 species